rnacentral:misc_RNA from 1 species
GAUGCUGGCAAGACGGGUGUUCAGAAUUGCAGUAGCAGCAACAGUGGCCAGAAUGCGGGCUCCAAUUUAAAAUCUCAGUCGUCAUCUCAUCAUAAGGGCAUAUCCGCCCAGCAAUACAGUCAUUCUUCUGGAUACAAUUAUCAGAGAGGUGGUGCUUCUCAAAAGAAUAGUUCGGGUGGCAGUGAAUGGCCCCACCGGAGAACAGGGUUCAUGGGAAGAAACCAGUCUGGAGCUGAAAAGAACUUU